rnacentral:rRNA from 1 species
UACGUAGGGUGCGAGCGUUAAUCGGAAUUACUGGGCGUAAAGCGUGCGCAGGCGGGCUUUUAAGCCAGACGUGAAAUCCCCGGGCUUAACCUGGGAAUGGCGUUUGGGACUGGAAGUCUGGAGUGCGGCAGAGGAGACUGGAAUUCCCGGUGUAGCAGUGAAAUGCGUAGAUAUCAGGAGGAACACCGAUGGCGAAGGCAGGUCUCUGGACAGUUCCUGACGCUGAGGCACGAAGGCCAGGGGAGCAAACGGG